rnacentral:rRNA from 1 species
UGACCUCGGAUCAGGUAGGCAUACCCGCUGAACUAAAGCAUAU